GGGUGAUUAGCUCAGUUGGGAGAGCACCUCCCUUACAAGGAGGGGGUCGGCGGUUCGAACCCGUCAUCACCUA
rnacentral:tRNA from 1 species